AGUGUGCAACAAGGUACUUGACUUAUCCUUACCGCCCUAAGCCUCUCUUGUUCUCGCUCUCCCUUGCUCGUUUCUCUCUAUCUCUGGCUCCCACGUCGUAGCACAAACAAACGGAGAGCUAGUUUGGAAAUUGAGCCAUGGCAUCCCAGAUAAUUAGAGAAUGGGCUGGAAUAAAUAGCUUCGCACCUGCCACCCAGACUAAGUUGCUUGAAUUGCUGGGAAAACUGAAGCAAGAGAAUGUGAACAGUUUGACCAUUCUUGUGAUGGGGGAAGGUGGAGUUGGAUAAUCUUCCACUGUCAAUUCACUCAUUGGUGAGGGCUGUUUCUAUAAGUCCUUUUCAGUCUGAAGGAACAAGAGCUGUGAUGGGAUCUGAUGCUCAAUGAAUGGUUGGGAUUGGUACUAAAACACAACCUUUUAUUUGGUCAUUUCUUGAUCCAUCCCACCAACUGAAGAACCCAUUUCUUUUCUUCCCCAAAUCAGUCUACUUCUGAGUGGUGAUU